ACCAUCCAGAGAAUUUAGCAGAGAUGCUUUAGUGCCUUCGGGAACNCUGAGACAGGUGCUGCAUGGCUGUCGUCAGCUCGUGUUGUGAAAUGUUGGGUUAAGUCCCGNAACGAGCGCAACCCUUAUCCUUUGUUGCCAGCACGUAAUGGUGGGAACUCAAAGGAGACUGCCGGUGAUAAACCGGAGGAAGGUGGGGAUGACGUCAAGUCAUCAUGGCCCUUACGAGUAGGGCUACACACGUGCUACGAUGGCGCAUACAAAGAGAAGCGACCUCGCGAGAGCAAGCGGACCUCAUAAAGUGCGUCGUAGUCCGGAUUGGAGUCUGCAACUCGACUCCAUGAAGUCGGAAUCGCUAGUAAUCGUAAAUCAGAAUGUUACGGUGAAUACGUUCCCGGGCCUUGUACACACCGCCCGUCACACCAUGGGAGUGGGUUGCAAAAGAAGUAGAUAGCUUAACCUUCGGGAGGGCGUUUACCACUUUGUGAUUCAUGACUGGGGUGAAGUCGUAACAAGGUAGGCGUAGUGCU
rnacentral:rRNA from 1 species